rnacentral:rRNA from 1 species
UGCAGUGAGGAAUAUUGGUCAAUGGCUUAACGGCUGAACCAGCAACUUGGAGGAAAUAAGAUAAUAUUAAAAAAAAUAAUAUUAUUAUAUUUCUAAAUAGAUAAUAGGAUUAUGACAUAAAUUUAUUUAUAAGUCUUGACUAAAUUACGUGCCAGCAGUCGCGGUAAUACGUAGAAGACGAGUGUUAAUCAUCUUUAUUAGGUUUAAAGGGUACCUAGACGGUAAAUUUAAGUUUAAAAAAGCUAAUAGUUUACUAGAGUUUUAUAGGAGAAAGGGAGAACUUUUAGAGUAAAGAUAUAAUUUAUUUAUACUAAAAGGACUGAUAAGAGCGUAGGCAACUUUCUAGUUAAAAACUGACGUUGAGGGACGAAGGCAUGGGUAACGAAAAGGAUUAGAUACCCUAAUAGUCCAAGCAGAAAAUUAUGAAUGCUAUAAGUUAGAGUUUUUUUUUAUCUUAUAAAUGAAAGUUUAAGCAUUCCACCUUAAGAGUAAUAUGGCAACAUUGAAACUGAAAUCAUUAGACCGUUUCUGAAACCAGUAGUG